UUUGUCCUACGGGGGGCAGCAGUAAGGGAUAUUGGUCAAUGGGGGAAACCCUGAACCAGCAACGCCGCGUGAGGGAAGACGGUUUUCGGAUUGUAAACCUCUGUCCUCUGUGAAGAUGAUGACGGUAGCAGAGGAGGAAGCUCCGGCUAACUACGUGCCAGCAGCCGCGGUAAUACGUAGGGAGCGAGCGUUAUCCGGAAUUAUUGGGUGUAAAGGGUGCGUAGACGGGAAAGCAAGUUAGUUGUGAAAUCCCUCGGCUUAACUGAGGAACUGCAACUAAAACUACUUUUCUUGAGUGCAGGAGG
rnacentral:rRNA from 1 species